UACGUAGGAGGCGGGCGUUGUCCGGAAUCACUGGGUGUAAAGCGCGUGUAGGCGGCCUGCCAAGUCUGCUGUGAAAGCGCCUGGCUUAACCGGGCGAGGUCGGUGGAAACUGGCGGGCUGGAGGACGGUAGAGGGGGGUGGAAUUCCCGGUGUAGUGGUGAAAUGCGUAGAGAUCGGGAGGAACACCAGUGGCGAAGGCGGCCCCCUGGGCCGUUCCUGACGCUGAGACGCGAAGGCGCGGGGAGCGAACGGG
rnacentral:rRNA from 1 species